UACAGAGGUCUCAAGCGUUGUUCGGAUUCAUUGGGCGUAAAGGGUGCGUAGGUGGCGGGGUAAGUCAGGUGUGAAAUCUCGGGGCUCAACCCCGAAACUGCACUUGAUACUGCCUUGCUCGAGUACUGGAGAGGAGAUUGGAAUUUACGGUGUAGCAGUGAAAUGCGUAGAUAUCGUAAGGAAGACCAGUGGCGAAGGCGAAUCUCUGGACAGUUACUGACACUGAGGCACGAAGGCCAGGGAGCAACGG
rnacentral:rRNA from 1 species